UUUUUAUCCAGAGUGGCGGAGGGACAGGCCCUGCGAAGCCACAGCAACCGGUCCGCCUCCUGCGGAUGCCAGGUGCUAAAUCCUACCCGCCGACGCCCCCCAGGGGAGCGGCGGGAAAGAUGGGAA
rnacentral:ncRNA from 1 species